rnacentral:lncRNA from 1 species
AGAACUCCCGAGGCAGGGUGUGUGCCGCGCGCGGGAAACGCCGUUCUCCGCUCCAGGCGUCGGCGGGCGGUGGCGAGAGCAGAUUUUAUAGGUUCAGAAAGUGUGUCUCAGAGGAGUUAGAGAAGACCGAUUAAUAGAUGACAGUGCUAAAGCCUGGAUCUCCUGAAUCCUGGUUCUGGGAUACAUGUGCAGAAUGUGCAGGUUUGUUAAUAGGCAUACGUGUGCCAUGGUGGUUUGCUGCCCCUUCAACCCGUCAUCUAGAUUUUAAGCCCCGCAUGCAUUAGUUUGGGGGAAGUUCUAUGAAAUCUAAGUUGAUGAACAUUAUUCCCCCUGCUGAUACCAAAAGUCCUGACUUGUAAGGAGGACAAAGCUGAGAUGAAAGUGUCCUAAGUUAGAUUCCUGGGAAGAAAAUUCUGAGACACAUUCUGCAGGAUGAUUAUUAGGGCUCAUCCUUGGUUUCAACACCCAUAGAAGGAAGGGGGAAGAAGAAAUCGAACAGAGAGACAGAAGUCGAGAUGCAUUUCAGGCCAGGACUCUUGGCUGAACCCACAGGAGCUCUGGAGCUAGAAUGGCCCUUCAGAGUUGUCCUGAGUUGGUCUGAGAUGGCCAGUUCUUUAUAUUCCUGCAUGGGAUAGUCACUGGAUGUCCACCCCAGGAAGGGGUGUGGCCAAGACAGUCCCUAAAAUGCCCGCCAGCACUCCCUACACCUGGAGCGACAAGACCAACAUCACAGGGGGAAUGCACUGGGUGAUG